rnacentral:lncRNA from 1 species
CUGCUUCUGCGUUCUCCGCGGUAAGGAGGGCGCGCGCGCAUUCAUUUCGCGACGGUCUAAACCCCUUUGUGUGGUGGUUCAUUAGUUCAAACCCCCAAUUUCUAUAUUUCUAACACCUGAUUUUAUAUUUGAAUCAGUGCUGAAGUGAGGUCUGCGUUCGGUUUCUGUGUGAUUUCGAUGAGUUCCGGUUCCCCGUGCGAUUCGUCGGAUUUGUGUUUGUUUUGAGUGUUGUGAUCGCUUGGCUAACUAUUGGAGUCCCUCUUCUUGCUUGGAUCUUUUUAUGGUGUUGAGGGAUGUGGGAGACCUGCCCGCAGCCGGGGCCGCCCCCGCUCCGCCACUCGGCCUCCUUCUCGUGCCUCCCGCGGGGUCUCCGGGACCCGCGCCCCCACCGGGCCCGCACGGCCACCCUCCCGACGGCCACCGUGGACACGGACUACGGCUUCGUCCGCCACCCCCGCACUCACCAUGCCCACCGCUACGACUCCGUCCCCGAAGAGGACCUCCUGGACACCCCCAAGAAAGACACGAACCACUCCUUCCGCGAGGUCCUCGUCAAGAAGUCCGCCUCCAUCCUCUCGCCGACCCAGUGGUGGACGCCGAGAAGACGGGCCCGUGGCAAGGACUGCGACCGGCCCGAGGUGCAGCGUCGGUGGCGCUCCCUGGGCGCCCUUCUCAAGACGUCCACGACGGCCAUUCAACCCCCGCAGCCGGCCUCCCCGCACGCCCAGAGCUUCUACCUCCUGGACGACUUCCUCGGGCCGCCCAAGCCCAGGCGCAGCGGGGGCGCCAACACGACGAGCAGCUCCGACUCUCUGGAGCUCAGCUCCCCGGUGCCCCCACCUGUACCCCCGCCGCCACCCCCGCUCCGCCUUCUCGGAUACAAGCAGCCCUGCGAGUGCUGCCGCUGCCGCCGACAGAGGGAGCGCCUUGUCCUCACCGAUUGGAUGGUAAGAACUCAUUUGAAUUUUUCUUGUUCACCACAUGAGAGCGGACGAAUCGAGGUAUGUAAACACCUACAAUUUGAGUCCUCAUUACAUGGACACAAUAUUAUUGACUAUUAAUACAAAAAUCGUUGAGACCUAUGUCCAAAA